CACAAGAGGCCUCUAUGUAGCGUUCAACCUUCUAUUUCCACAGAAUCGGUUUUUCAGUUCACUCAUACACUCUACCUUUAUAUGUAUCCCUAUGGCUUCGGUUUGAUUUCGGUUAGAUCGCAAAACCGUAUAAAAUAUAAAGUAGAAUAUUUACUAAUGGGUGUGAUAAUACUAGCGUAACGUAAUCGUCUCUCUUCGAAAUUUGUUUUAUUCGAGUCACACGUUGAACGAUCAAGAAACACAUUCCCUUUCAUGGUAAAAGCACGAAGUAUGCGGGUAACGAGAUCCAUUGAGGACAAUGGAAAAAGACGAGUCGCGGAUCUAAAUUGGUUUCGACAAUCGUCCACCAGUUUGCUCAACUACGAGACGACGAAAAGAGUUGCAGCAACCAGCCGGGAUGAACAGAGCUAACCGGUGAAGAAACGAACUUAAAGACGAAUGCAGAUUGAAGAUCGUUUCUGUGUCGCAACAAUUGACGCUUUUCAAACGACAAUUUCUCAAUCAAAUCGUCAUUGAAUAGCUUAAAAUACGACGAUUUGAACAUUCAACAAGUGCAUGCAACGUUUCGACGCUUAAACGUUUGAAAGAUUCACGAUCCUUGAAAUUCUUAAUUUAAAUACUCGAAUUUUUGGUUCUUUAAAUUUAUAGACAUAUUUGUAUUUUAGAGUAUCGAAGCUUUUUAAUUUUAGAAUUUUUCGAUACUCGAUUGCUUUACCUAUAAAUUUGAGACUUUUUUAAUUUCAAAGUUCUUGGAUCUCUAAAUUUCUAAAUUUUCAGACUUUCAAGCUAUAAACUUCUCGAAUCUGCCGAUUCUCCAAUUUUUUAGAACUGAAUUCCUCGAUAUCCGAGCUUUUCGAAUUCUCAAAUACUUGAACUUUUUAGCUUUGCAGCAUCCUAAAUUUUCAAACACUUGAAACAGGCAAGUAAACGAAAACGAAGCCUCUAAUUGUAAGUGAUUGGUAAAUAGAAAAAAAGAUUCGCUAGAAGAAGAGUUUAGAAACGAAAAAGGAUCGAAGGAUUAGUCGAUCGCAAAAUUAAAGUUUCGUCGAGAUCGAGAUACCAACUCCGCCUUAAUUCCAGCCCGGAACCCACAAUUUUCAUUGCCGACGACGCUUGUUAUUUCACGAUUUUGCAAACAAAUUUGCGGUCGUACAACAUUACGCGAUCUAACUACGAAUUCAUUCGAUAUUAUUUUCCAUGGAUUUUUAUCUCUUUAUUACUUAUAUUACUAUCAUGCUGUAAAUUUAAAAAAAUGGAAUAAACAAUAGACUAUUAAAAUAUUAAAACACGCAAUAAAAUUCGCAUUAUUCCUGUUCAAUAAAAGACUUUAUGGCUUAAAACAAAUGUUCCAUUCCAAAUUAUAAAAAUUUCGCUUUCGAGAAAUAUCGAUGUAAAAAUUAAUAUUAAGCAAGAGCAGUUGCACACGCAUCAAAACGAAAUACACCGAGGCUAUACAAUAUGUUUAUACAUAUGUGUAUGUAUAAAAUUAUAAUAUAUCACACGAUAACGUUUUUAUGCGGCGAAUUACUGUUUUAUUUAUUGAUUU